GCUGGGGUAAUUCAGUCAGUAGAGCAGGAGACUCUUAAUCUCAGGGUCAUGGGUUUGAGCCCCAUGUUGGGCA